GACGAACGCUGGCGGCGUGCUUAACACAUGCAAGUCGAACGGAAAGGCCCUGCUUUUGUGGGGUGCUCGAGUGGCGAACGGGUGCGUAACACGUGAGUAACCUGCCCUUGACUCUGGGAUAACUUCAGGAAACUGGGGCUAAUACCAGAUAGGUGCUGCUGAUGCAUGGUGGGGGUUGGAAAGUUUCGGCGGUUGGGGAUUGACGCACGGCUUCUCAGCUUGUCGGUGGGGUAGUGGCUUACCAAGGCCUCGACGGGUAGCCGGCCUGCGAGGGUGGCUGGCCUCGUGGGGACUAGUAUACUGCCCAGAAUCCUACGGGAGGCAGCAGUGGAGAAAGUUGCCACAUGGGCGGGGGCCAGAAGGAGCAGCGCCGCGAGCGGGAUGGCGGCCUGCUGGUUGUGAACCAAGUUCGCCUGUGACGAAGCGUGAGUGACGGUAAUGGGUAAAGAAGCCCCGACUAACUACGUG
rnacentral:rRNA from 1 species